GACGAACGCUGGCGGCAUGCUUUACACAUGCAAGUCGAACGAACUUAGGCCUAGCUUGCUAGGAACGGUUAGUGGCAAACGGGUGAGUAACGCGUGGGAACCUACCUUUAGGUACGGAAUAGUCCUGGGAAACUGGGUUUAAUACCGUAUGAUGUCUUCGGACCAAAGAUUUAUCGCCUAGAGAUGGGCCCGCGUUAGAUUAGCUUGUUGGUGGGGUAAUGGCUCACCAAGGCUACGAUCUAUAGCUGGUUUGAGAGGAUGAUCAGCCACACUGGAACUGAGACACGGUCCAG
rnacentral:rRNA from 1 species